AUUUGCCAGACUGCAUACUGGUGUCUACGGUCAGACAUUGCUAUUUUGGGGUCUGCCCUGCUCUCUCAGACCUGCGGGAGUUUCAGGAAACCCUGCUGCCCAGCUAUUGCUCCAUCUAUUCCUGAGCUCACAGGGAUUUAUGCUACUGCCCACAGACCACCAUGGCUGUAGGAAACUCCACUGGGAUAUCUGAGGAUCAAAGACAAAUUAGGAAAAUAUUGCCUUUAAUAAAAUUCAAACUUUUUCCUUAA